GGCCUKUUGAUUAUAAUUUUAGGUYUGRCCUGCCCAAUGAAUAAUUUAAUGGCCGCGGUAUWUUGACCCUGCAAAGGUAGCAUAGUAAUUAGUUUUUUAAUUGAAAGCUUGUAUGAAAGGUUCGAUGAAAAAGUUUCUGUCUCUAAGAAAAUUUAUUAGAAUUUUAUUUUUGAGUUAAAAAGCUUGGAUGUAUAUAGAAGACGAGAAGACCCUAUAGAGUUUUAUAUUUGUUUUUUAGAGAUGAAUAUAGGUUUCUGAGUUUGUUUUUAAAGAAAAGUAUUUUAUUGGGGUGAUAAAAAAAUUAAUUAAACUUUUUUUUGUUUAAAACAUUUAUUUAUGAUUAUAUGAUCCUAAAGUUUAGAUUAUAAGAUUGAAUUACCUUAGGGAUAACAGCGUAAUUUUUUUUAGAGUUCUUAUCAAAAAAAAAGAUUGCGACCUCGAUGUUGGAUUAAAAUAAAUUGUUGGUGUAGAAGCUGAAUGAUUAGGUCUGUUCGACCUUUAAAAUUUUACAUGAUCUGAGUUUARACCGGCGUGAG
rnacentral:rRNA from 1 species